GGGACAUAAGUCCUUACCAAACCGUUGCAAACUCCGAAUACCCUGAAGUUCAAUCGCGGGAGACACACGGUGGGAGCUAAAUUUCAUCGUGAAGAGGGAAACAACCCAGACCGCCAGCUAAGGUCCCUAAAUCAUCGCUAAGUGGUAAACGAUGUGGAAAGUCAUAGACAGCCAGGAUGUUGGCUUAGAAGCAGCCAUCAUUUAAAGAAAGCGUAAUAGCUCACUAGUCGAGUCGGCCUGCGCGGAAGAUGUAACGGGGCUAAGCCAGUCACCGAAGCUGCGGAUAUCCUUUAUUGGAUAUGGUAGGAGAGCGUUCUGUAAGCCUGCGAAGGUGUCUUGUAAAGGAUGCUGGAGGUAUCAGAAGUGCGAAUGCUGACAUGAGUAACGAUAAUGCAGGUGAAAAACCUGCACGCCGUAAGCCCAAGGUUUCCUGCGCAACGAUUUUCGGCGCAGGGUAAGUCUGAUCCUAAGGCGA
rnacentral:rRNA from 1 species